UAUCGAACUAGCCUAUUCUCCUCUGUCGUCUCUAUUCGCUUCCCUCUUCCCCUAACUGAUAGGGCUUUUGGGAGCGAGAAGUCAUCGGCGCCAAAUCCUUCUCAGUAUAUAGAAGAAGAACAUCAUGCCGGGGCCCACAUUGGAGAUGGAACCAGUGGAGCCACAGUCGCUGAAGAAGCUCAGUCUCAAAUCCCUCAAACGAUCUCUCGAUCUCUUCUCCCGGGCCCAAGGCGAGCUCCCCACUCCCGACCCCGAGAGUAAAACAAUUCGCACAAGCCAUAAGAUAAGCAUGGAGUAUGUAGGAAUUCAACCCAUGGCUAGCCAAAAACCGCCUCGUUGGGCUGAGUCUGGUGCGCUGGGAAGUGGUUCUGAAGGGCCUUCCAAUGCCCUUGCCCUCACAGAUUCUAAGGAAAUGCAGACUGGAGGAGCUCAAAACGAUUUGGUUGUCAGUCCAUCUGCACCAAGGGCACCGAAUACUGUUGGUAAUUCGGACAGAGACACUGUAGCUGUUUCUGCUCCAGGGUCAUCUCACAGGUUUUCAACAUCGGCCAUGAUGGAAAGAAUUUCCAGCAGAUGGCCAUGUCCCGAUUGGCAUGCUCCUUGGAAGAUUUACAGAGUUAUUAGCGGUCACUUGGGAUGGGUACGAUGUAUUGCCUUUGACCCAAGUAAUAGGUGGUUCUGCACUGGUUCAGCAGACCGCACUAUCAAGAUUUGGGAUGUUGCAACUGGAACUCUACAACUGACAGUGACAGGACACAUAGAGCAAAUACGAGGCCUUGCAGUUAGCAGCAGGCAUACCUAUAUGUUCUCUGCUGGAGAUGACAAACUAGUUAAAUGCUGGGAUCUUGAACAGAAUAAGGUUAUCCAUUCAUAUCAUGGUCAUUUAAGUGGCGUUUACUGCUUGGCUCUUCAUCCGACUCUUGAUGUUUUACUUACCGGGGGACGUGAUUCUGUAUGCCGGGUUUGGGAUAUCCGAAGCAAGACGCAAGUUCAUGCAUUGUCGGGGCAUGACAACACAGUUUGCUCCGUUUUCACUCGACCAACAGAUCCACAAGUUGUCACUGGAUCUCACGACACAACAAUCAAGUUUUGGGACCUUAGAUAUGUAAAAACAAUGUCAACUCUGACACACCAUAAAAAGUCUGUGCGUGCAAUGGCUCAGCAUCCUAGAGAGCAUUGUUUUGCAUCUGCAUCAGCUGAUAACAUUAAGAAGUUCAACCUCCCAAGAGGCGAAUUUUUACACAACAUGCUGUCUCAGCAGAAAACCAUAAUCAAUGCAAUGGCUGUCAACGAAGAUGGGGUUUUGGCCACAGGAGGCGAUAAUGGGAGCAUGUGGUUUUGGGAUUGGAAGAGCGGCCACAAUUUUCAGCAAUCCCAAACAAUUGUACAAUCCGGCUCGUUGGAUAGUGAAGCUGGUAUAUAUGCGCUUUCAUACGAUGUCACCGGUACGAGGCUGGUGAGUUGUGAAGCCGAUAAGACGAUCAAGAUGUGGAGGCAAGAUGAAAAUGCCACUCCGGAAACUCACCCUCUCAACUUUAGGCCCCCUAAGGAUAUUCGACGGUUCUAGAGCGAGGGCUUGUUACGGUGGUUGUGCUGGUCGUUGCUAUGAGAUAAACUAUGCAAAUUUUGAUGCGUUAUUCCUCAUAGCCUCAUGGAGGAGGGGAGAAUACGGCUAAACGAAGAGCUCUACGUGGUCCAUCCGCAAAACUCGAAGCUACUCGAGAUUUGAUGCGUUGGAGCCAAGAUUAAAACCUUAAUUUGGAGACGAUUCACAUGUUGAGCGACAGCCCACUACCCAAAAUAAGACCAAAAGUUUGGAAAAUUAAGAAGAUAAUACUAAUUUCUAGACCUCCUAACCAUUUUGCAUGAAUUAGCCCAGCCUACUAAGAAGAAAUUAGCCACCCCACUACCCAAAAUUCUCCAAAAUGGAAGGCCAGUCAACCUCCUCCAUGGCUAAUGCAUUGAAGCUUUCUUCUUA